CUGAAGUGUAAUUGGUUUGGACGUACUACACUUUUAUAUUUGCUGGCUGUUAGCCGAUCGAACAGUUUCUUGUCCUUUGGCCUGUGAAGGAUGAAGCUGAUCUCAACACCGAGGUUGCAGACAACUUCUGCAGGUAAGAGAUUUCUGCUUCUUGAUGCUCACUGCACUGGGCUGUAGAUGGAAUUCAUGGGGGCUCCUACAUUCUGGUUGUCUCAUGACCUGGCAGCUGGUGUUGUCUCGUGAUGCUCAGUCCCGAUAUCUGUUUGUUAUCAGCCUGCACCUGCCUUGUUUGCUUCCCUCCUGGCCCUGGAUUUCCAUCUGCCCUGGGAGAUGCUUGCCAGACUGACCUCUGCCAGCACUGAUUGGUUAACAAGGACUUGAAAAUUUGAGACCUGGUGUUUCAGUGUGGUUCUCAUAAGCCAUCAAUUUAUCAGGUGUAACAAGAGCUAAUGGUGAGGCACAGCCCUGUGUUUGCUUUGAGUAAGAUUUUGAGCUUUUUAUUAGUUUGAGACAUUUAUGGUGUUACUAUUCUCUCUUGAAAAAAAAUGUAGGUUUUUCUUAUCUAAACUAUGUUCUUCAAAAGACUUAAAUUGCAAGCCUCUGUUUUGUUUAGCUGUUCCUUUGUAUUGUGUGUUUGUCCAUAUUUUCACAGUUCUGGGUACAUUUCCUAUUGGUUUUGUCACGAUAACCAUAUAGAUUGAGGCUUUUUUGCUUGAAACCCUGACCAUAAUUUGACUGUUCAAUGUUGCAAAAUAAAAGUUGCCCAUUAUAAUAAUACUUUUGACUCUUAAGCCAUUAUUCAAAUGCAAUGAUCACAACAAACUUUUAUACUAGUAUCUCUUUUAUGUUUUAGAUGAGAUGCUAUGUUUCAUCUGCUUUGCAAUAAACUACUUUUUCUUUUUCCUGUUCAGUGCAUAGACUUUGUGUUUUCUGCCAUUGCUUUCUAUACUCAGAACUUGCUGGGCAGUAACAUGAGAGGCUUCAUGUCACUGUUUCAUCAGCUGAAUUAAGAUUAAGCAACGGAGAUUUGUAAUGCUGCUUCUCCACAAAAACAGCGACUGACUUCCUGACAUCUUCACAGUCUUUGCUUCUGCAGCAUUUGCUCCUUCUCCUGGAAAAUCUGAUAUUUGAGCUGGUACCUGUCUUUCAUGGAUUUCACCUAUUUUUCCUGAUUAUUUUUUUAAUAAUUAAUUUGUUACAUUAAUUAUGGAAAUGGUAGCAUGUCUGUGAAAGGCAGAAUUGUUCAUGAUAGAUGUUAAAUGUUUAACUUCUGCCUCUUCCUAUAUAUUCUGGUGUUGUUCCUAGUCACUGCAUGGAGACAAACACUGAUUUGCUGGGACCUGACCCAGAAAAGAUGACAGAAUGUGUUUUACUUUCUGCAAAUGUCCUUAAUGACAUUUAUUGUCAUUAAGACAAUAUGUGUCUGAAAUUACUCUUAUUUGUGAAGGAUAUUUUUAAAAGGUGAAUUUAGGGCACAGGCACUUAUGUUGCCUUUUGCUAAAGGUAUGCAGUAGGAAGAAAUUAUAAUGAUGCAAUGAGAUUUAAGUCUUCAAUCACCAAAUAUGAUAAAGACCAUGAAAAGAGCAGACCCAAAAUGGUUUUAUAUAGUUAAAUAAAAGAAGUGUAGAUAUCCUGAGAAUAGCACAGAUACUUUAGCUUCCCUGCAACAAAAUGUUCUUGGAUUUAAACUUUUUGAAUGAAAAUGCUGAAAGAAAA